rnacentral:lncRNA from 1 species
ACACACACACACACACACACGCCUGUGAUGCAAAAUGAUCUUUCCAGUGUGUUUUGUCCCAGUAUGGAAAUGGAGUGCUGCCGUGCCCAUAAGUAGUCAUUUUCUAAACUGUCUAAAACCACAGAGGCAUUGCACUGAGGCAGAGCAAGUGGCCUCAUGAAGUCGUGUGACUGGAGAGGCUGCGUGAGCUCUUCGCUCAGAAACAUCUCUGUCACCUGCCCAACAAGAAAUCCCCACCAUUAAAUUAAUCUUUAAGAUGAACACACUGUAAGGCCAAGAAAUUCCUUUUAAAAUAAGAAUACUAGAUGGUAGUUCAUAUAUUUACACUUAGGUGUGAAUUCAUUUAUCAGACGCGUUGAACCAAGACCACUAGACAGGCUGUUUUUGACUUGCCAGGGACUGAGGUGUCGGAAGAUGCAAGGGAAGGAAAGCCACGUGGUUGAAAAGGAGGGACCAGACGCCGCGCCAGGAGACCUGCGCUUGCAAGGCCAAGGGAUGCCAAUGGAUGCGAAUGAAAAAAAUACCUUGCUUGGCGCCAGGCUUUUCCAGGUUUUCCCGUCAGUAAAAUGUGGGAGCACUUUUAUUACAUUUCAACAAAUGUGUUUGAAUGAACCCAGUCAUGACACAUGAAAGAGAAGCAAAGACGGCAGGUGUUCCGUCUGAGGCCAGGGCCCCACGCGUAAAAGGUGGAGACUCAGGAGGAGGGGGGAGGACGUGUGCGUGCGCGUGUUGAGAGGCUGAAGAAGGUGAGACACAGACGUGUAGAUGGAUCAAGAGACAAGAGACGCUUUAGCAGAAAACACCUGGCAGAGCAGAGGCUGAUGCUAGUUGAUGAUGGGUCGUAAACAUUGGUAAAACAUCAUGCUUGCUUCACUAACUGUUUACGUGAUCACCAGAAGGGGAACAGUCUUAGGAGUAAAGCAGUUUUAACAAUACGAUGCUCUCAAUUCAGGGAGUUCCCGCUGUGGCUCAGCGAAAACGAACCCAACUAGUAUCCAUGAGGAUGUGAGUUCAAGCCCCUGCCCUACUGUCUGGCACAGGGAACUAUAAUCGAUGUCUCGUAAUUACCUAUAAUGGUAAAGAAUCUGAAAAAGAAUAUAUACAUCUCCACACAACUGAAUCACUUUGCUGUACACUUGAAAGUAACACAACGGGGAGUUUCUACUGUAGCUCAGCACUCAGCGGGUUAGGAACCUCACUAGUACCCAUGAGGAUGCAGGUUCGAUCCCCAGUCCCACUCAGUAGGUUAAGGAUCUGGCGUUGCUGUGAGCUGCGAUGUAGGUCACAGACGAGUCUCGGAUCCCGCACUGCUGUGGCUGUGGCGCGGGCCAGAGGCUGCAGCUCCAAUUCGACCCCUAGCCUGGGAACUUCCAUCUGCCGAGGGUGCAGCCCUAAAAGGUUUUUUAAUUAGGAGAAAGAAAGAAACACAACAUUAUAAAUUAACUAUACUUCAAUUUUAAAAGUCUGUAAUUAUAAACAGUAAAGAAAAAGUUACAGGUGCUGCUUUCGGAAAACAAAGCUAUCACACUUCCUCUGUGGUUGCGCAAGGCAGGAUGAGGAAUGCAGGUAUUCCACGUCCUUGCUCUAGGAAUAUUUCACACAGCCAGACCAACUCUUGAAUCGAGCCCCUUUUUCAAAGUGUAGCAAUAAUACGAAAGUAACCUCUGACAGAACCAGAGCCAAUGUAAAAAUGGCCUUCAGAAAUACUAAUGUCAUAAUGUCAGUAGCGGGAGUUCCUACGGUGGCUCAGUGGUUAGUGAACCCGACCAGGAACCAUGACAUUGCAGGUUCAAUCCCUGGCCUCGGUCAGUGGGUUAAGGAUCCCACGUUGCUGUGGCUGUGGUGUAGGCCAGUGGCUACACAGCUGCAAUUCAACCCCAUUCAACCCCUAGCCUGGGAACCUCCAUUUGCAGCAGGUGCUGCCCUAAAAAGCAAAAAAAAAAAAAAAAAGUCUUUUCAUGCUCAGCCAUUAUCCCUGACAUGUGCAUGUUUUUUCUUUUUAGAUAUCCUUUUAUUUUUUAUAGUUUACAGAAUUAUAAUUUGAAACUUGAAACACAGCUUUUGCAUGUCACUCAUUCAAAUAAAUGAAACCAAUCAUUUCAUUUUUUACUGAUCUAGUCUAAAAAUCUUUUUUCUAACUAUGCCUAUAUUCCUUUUUUCUCAAUUUGUUUUGCAAAAGAGCAAUACUUACGAAAAUAAAAAUGUGUGUAUUUAUGUACAUAUAUCUUCAUUACUUGUUUAAAACUCAGUGGGAAAACCAAGAAAAUGAUUAAAUGUUUUUUAAUUUGCUUAUCUGCUUAUCCCAUCAAAAUAUAAAAGUUUAAUAACUUUACUUAUACAUUAUUUUGAGAAAAACUUACUCAAGAAUCACCUAGCAUAGGUCCUAAAUUCACGCUAUUGUUUUCCAGGUACCAAAAUGCUCUCUUCAUUGGUUGUAAUUUUUUAUUCAUCAACUUUUAUCAUGUUUAAGUACACAGGUAGCUGCUCAUUUAAUGUGCCACUCUGUAGCCUUUUGUAUUAAAAGUUUAAAACAUGAUUUGAAUAAUCCAUUUCCCAGACAGUGGAAAGAUAAAAAUUAGUCACAGUCAAUUGAUUUGUAUUGCUUGAAAUGUUGCUAAAGUGAGCAGUAAUCUAAUCUUUCCGCCCGGAGUAAUAUUUUGAGGAAUAUAUUUUAGAGGUGACAUCGUGUUAGAACAGAUUUGUUUUCACCACUAAACAAAUAAAAGAAUAUUUUCAUGGCAUCCCUGAAGAUGAUGAUAUCAGAUUUACAAGAUGUCCUUUAGCUGGUUUUAUUUUGGGGCCACAGCUUGUUUAUUUGACACGUAGGUUAACCUCUAGCCAGUGUAAACUUCUGCAACACAGAUUCUGUGCCUUCGUUCUCCACUCACUCUUCUCUGUCUUUCAAGGUCUGUUAAAUUGGACCUUGUGUCCCUCCUCUGUGCUUUAACAAGGAGCAUGGAUGCUUAUGAAGUCCACUUUCAGCACCUGAACAUGUGCUAAAAAAAAAAAAAAGCGCCCCCUGGAUGUGGGGGUGAUGGAUGCUUCAAUUAAAUGCAAUACGGAAAAUGAGCCAGAAUCCACAGCUGGGGAAGCCCCGUCCUUGUAGAAGCAACAUGAAAAUGGAAAAUAAUCCUUCUGAAGCCUCACUGGCAUGUUCUGAAAUGAAACUGGUAGCAGAACAACAACAGAUCCCAGACAAGAAAUUCCGAGAGAUGAGUAAACGGAGCCAAGUCUCCACCGGGAAGAGGGUUCUUCCCCAAGAUACAGAUUAGAAGGGUGACAGCUGUCUUGGGGGAACCUUCCCAAAGCAAAUACUGAGGCCCCGCUACACGCCGGACGUACCUCGAGAAAGACCUAGGAGUUUGGGGAGAGAGUAAGACGAUGAGGAUAAAGAGAGAGGAAAAAGCUGUCUCCUCUCCAGCAGCGCUUUCGACUCUUUAUUCCGAGGAUGUGUCCGUGUCUCAGAAAGGAAGACAGACGGAGGGAAGGAGAGGAGAGGGGAAGAAGAAAAGGCAAGAAGGAAGGAAAGGUAGAGAGGCAAAAAGAGGAGGGAAAGAAAAGGAAACAUUUCCUUUUCUAAUUUGAAAAUGCAAAAUGUCCAGGAGGUACUUCUAUUCAUAAAUUAAUUUUACUUUAUUCCCCUUGGACUCUCAGUCCGAUAACGACUCCAGUAAGAGCCCAAUGGCACCCAUUUCCUGCAAAAACAGGCCAAAUGGAACUGCCCAGACAAAGGGGGCUCUGACGCCCUGGCCCCAUGUUCCCAGGUGAACGGUCUUCUCGCCCAAGAGAGGAGACGCCUGUGCCAGAGGCUGACGAGUGACAACAGUGUGACACCGGGGCCCUCACAGCCGCAGAGACCUUGAUUCUUCCCUCCUCCCGCCGCCAGUGGGAGGUGGAAGCCCUACGUGGUGAGCCUCUGCAUCGGACCCAAGCGCGCCUUGGAUGGCAGAGGCUGUCCCAAGAGCCAGACGAAGGCACCACAGAACCCAGCAAGUCCGCCCGGCUGCUGACCUAAGGCCACCUUUUCCGGCAAGCAGAAGCUCCCUGGCCAGGGAGAAAACCUGCGCCACAACAGCAACCUGAGCCGAAGCAGCAACAUCAGAUCCUUAACUCACUGGGUCACAAGGAAACGCCUUACCUCAGUUCUUCUGAUCAAUGCUAAGAACCCCAUUUAACAGAGUGCCCUUUGCUGCCUGGGCCGCCCGCAAGGAUUCACUUUUCACUCCUUACUCAUCCAGCUGACUCUGGAUUACAGUGGGAAAGAAAAGGAAGCUGACAGAGAAACGACGCUAGAGGAAGAGAGCAAAGCACGCAGAGCACCGUGUUACCGGAACUGUGUCCUUUUCGUUGGAGGUGUCCGCGCGUGUAUUUGCAUCUUUGACCUUGGGAGGAGCUGGAAAUUAUGAGUAGCUCUUCCCACUGAAAUAAGCCCCGGGGGUGAGGGUGCGGAGCUGGACUAAAAACAGGUAAAAUUUAGAGUAUUCUGCUGCUCCUCAAUUUUGUUUUCUUGUUCUAUGGUUGGAAAAACACUCCAAAGGGAAUAGGGUUUCAGGUCACCUGGAAUCAGUACCAAGUAUCGACAGCUCAUCUCUCUCUUCAGAAGAAAGAGUUCUUCAUAUCAUGGGGGUUUUAAAGCUGGUGAUAAAACAAAAAGCAAUUUUCCAAAAAACGGCCACCUUGAAAAAUAAAGGGCUUUUAAAAUC